rnacentral:snoRNA from 1 species
GAGCAGACGGUUAUCCCUCUUAGCCUAUGCCUGUGGCUUUAGAGGGAGUCAGUCUGCUAAAGGAAAGAGGGGAGGCUUUGCUGUUGUCCUGUCCAGCUGGCACUGGUGCAGGCUGCGGGUCUUCCCCACACUG